rnacentral:rRNA from 1 species
UACGUAGGGUGCAAGCGUUAAUCGGAAUUACUGGGCGUAAAGCGUGCGCAGGCGGUUUUGUAAGUUUGUCGUGAAAUCCCCGGGCUCAACCUGGGAAUGGCGAUGAAGACUGCAAGGCUAGAAUCUGGCAGAGGGGGGUAGAAUUCCACGUGUGAGCAGUGAAAUGCGUAGAGAUGUGGAGGAACACCGAUGGCGAAGGCAGCCCCCUGGGUCAAGAUUAGACGCUCCAUGGCCACGAAAGGCGUGGGGAGCAAAC